rnacentral:lncRNA from 1 species
UGUAUUAACUAACCUCUGGAAUUAACAAAUGUUACAGUUUCGAGAUCAAGAUAGCUGCUCUGGACUUUCAUUGGCGAAGUAAACCAUUUUGGGAUCGAGCGAGAACCCCUUUGUCCCCCAACUUCAGUUCUGUGUCCCUACCUCUCUCUGAAGACUGCAACUCUUGAAUUUGGGAGAGUCCCUGCAGUCUCUGGACUCAAAGGUUGACUGCAGGGACCUGUAAGAAGAGCGUCAGAUUUCUGAAAUUGCCAAAGGAGAAGAAGUUCUCAAGUAGUGUUGAGAACAAGAACAAAAAAACUGCUUUUAACAGUCUGAUCAGAACAAAAGAGAGAUCAAAGGGGUUGCAGGCCCACUUCUUGGGACAGCUGGUG